CCGUUACGAUUAACCAACUAAUCGUAACCAACAAAUAUUGCCCGUUACAAAUAGAAAAGUCAACAGAAUUUUGACCUUGUUAUUUGUAACUAACAUGGGGUGUCCGUUACGAAUAAGGUUUUAAAGUAAGCCCUAAAUUUUUACUUUCCCCUUUCUCACUCCCUCUGUCAAAAAAUUUCCUCUCUCUCUCCAAUAUUGAAGCAGCUCCCGCGCGCAAGGUCGUCGUCCUCACCUCCCUGAACUCCAUUGAAGGAGCUCCAAGCUCAGUUCAACCUUUUGCUCCUCUCAUUCUCACUCUUCUCCUCCAUUGAAGCGCACUUUGAGUUCUCCAUUAUUGAAGCGCACUCUGAGUUCUCCAUUGAAGGGAUUUUAGAGUUCUCCAUUGAAGCGCUCUCUGAGUUCUCCAUUGAAGCGCACUCUGAGUUCUCCAUUAAAGCGAGCAGCUCGGUCCUUAGCUCCCUCAACUCCAUUAAAGCAGCUACGUCCUCAUUUCAAGAUGGUGAUUUGAUGCGGCUUAAAUCUGACAAUUUGGUGUAGGCAUACUACAAUGGAAGAAAACAGAGAUGAUCAUGAUGGACAGGAACAAUCUGGUGACAUGGAUGCCUCCACUUCCCAAGUAAAAUCUUCUACAAAAAAGGGACGAGGCCCGUCUAGAUCAGUCCAAACAACUACACCCAUGUUCCUCGAAUUUGAUGAGUUUGACAUGCCUAUUGGAAAGUGGAAAUCUGCUUAUGGGAAGCAAAUUGGUAAUUGUGCUCAAAGAGUUAACAUUAAUGUGAAGGGAUAUUCGAAGUAUGAUAAAGUUCAAAAGCAAAACUUGUGGGAGGAGAGUAAGGUAAUUACGAUAUAAAUAUGGUUUAUUGCUCU